UACGUAGGUGGCAAGCGUUGUCCGGAAUUAUUGGGCGUAAAGCGCGCGCAGGCGGCCUUUUAAGUCUGAUGUGAAAGCCCACGGCUCAACCGUGGAAGGUCAUUGGAAACUGGAGGGCUUGAGUACAGAAGAGGAAAGCGGAAUUCCACGUGUAGCGGUGAAAUGCGUAGAGAUGUGGAGGAACACCAGUGGCGAAGGCGGCUUUCUGGUCUGUAACUGACGCUGAGGCGCGAAAGCGUGGGGAGCAAACAGG
rnacentral:rRNA from 1 species